GAGCCGCGCCCGGCGCCUGGGCUGCCGUCGUUGUGCGCCCGAGUCGGGCUUGAGGCGAGGGAGAAGUUGCUUUAGGGGUUUUCGUCUGGGUUCCUGAGGAAAAAUCCGGACAAGGGUGAUCUUUUCCUUGCCUACGGGUGCCUUCGUUCCUGGUCCACUCCCUAUACGUCGGCAUUCCUCACCUCAUCCUCCAUGGAAAACAAACCCGUGUGAUCAGCCGCGGGUUUUCCUUAGGCUACCACAGAAGGCAGCUGCCUUUCUGUGUGUAGCUGCCUUUCUGUGUGUAGCACCUUUUUUUUUUUUUAAACCAAGACGUGCCCAUCACCUUGGCACUUGCUGAUGGAAAGCAGUUUAAAUGUGGAACACCACGUUAUGGGCAUUUAUCCCAGACACCUUUUCUCUUUUUACAGUUGUUUCAGGAGCAGAAGCUUUCUUAACUGUGGAGUAGUGAUUCCAGGAGUAGUGAACUCUGGAGUGGUUUGCCAGCAACUUUGACUGCAGUCAGGGUGGUCAGCAGGAUUAGGAAUGGUCCUCUCCACUUGCCUUGUAGAGGAGCACUGGCCCACCACUUAACAUAGACAGUAUUGUGACUCAGUUUCCCUUCUAAAGUAUUUUACACAGAAUAUGCUGCUCCAGUAUCUACCAAAAAUUCAGUGUCACCUUUCCCCAGCUUAGUCAUAAUCGAAGUCUAUGCUGAGGGAGUAGCCUUAGGUCCCCAUCACUCUGAACUUGAACCACUUGAGGUUUGUACUACUGGGAGUUUGGUGUAGGAAGGACAUUUUGUUUCACUGUUUUUGUGAGCCAGCGAAAGCUUCCUGAAUAUAAGGAAAGCCCCAUAUCUCUCUCGAGGAAGACACCAAGGCUAUCACCAUGACAACAUGAUGAAAGAGAGAAAAUUAAAGAUUCGGACUUUAGUUGGCUCACAGAAUGACGCGGGUCUUUGUUCACCUACUGAAAACUUUGUUUCUUCCUUAUGACCAAUGGGUGAUGUUUGUAUCUGUUAAGUAAAUGUAAAUAUCUUGAAAAACUAUAAAGGCAACAUGUUGCUAUAAAAAAUGCCUCUUAUACACCCUUCUGAUGGAGUCUGGGUGCUUUGCACCAUGUCGCGUUCUAUAGCCACAUCUCGUGGCCGCCUGCUCUGAUUGCAAUUGGACUGUAAAAAAGGAAAGAAAAAAAGAGAAAAAGUUGAAGGGUACCCUAAAAAUGAGUGAAGGCAGCAAGGAUGCUGUGGAGGUCUGGAGGUAAUUCAGACAUCUGAUUCAAGGUGAGCGACUGGGAAAAAUAAUGGGAAAUAAUUUAUCAAAUGAGGAAAAGACUGUUUUGUCCAGGUGAAAAGUUUUACUGAAAAGGAAAAAUUUUCAAGCUUCUGAUUAUGCUCUUCGUAGUUUACUGAUAUGGUGUAAAUCACAGGAUUUUGAAGCUGAUGCCGACACUGCCUUCAGUGUCUGGGCAUGGAAAAAAUUUGGGAAGAGACUAUGAGAAGUGAUAUCUAAGGGGGAUAAGAUGGUUGUUGAUUUGGCUACUAUCUGGAGACUGUUAUAUGAGGCAUUGAAGGAAUGGAAAGCAGAACGAGAUAGAGGGGAGGAAUUGGAGGAACAGGAAUUAGAGCAAGAAACUGAAGCAGAGGAACAGGAAAGAUGCUGAGCCUGUCAUGUAUCUCCCCCUGAGGAGUCUGCUGCAGUUGCUGUAGAGGUUUCCCCAGGGUUUGCUAUCGUGAGAAUCAAACGGCAGGCUAAGACUGUUCCUCGGUAUCCAUCUCCAAAAGACUAUAUUAAACCUGUGUAUACUUCGCCUGCUCAGCAGUUAGUUGAGCUGAGUACUAAACCAAAGUAUCUUACGCCUGCGCAGCAAUUAGCCAAAAUGAAGUUACACAAGAAGCGAAGUCAAAAACAGGCUGGGUCAUCGGCCCUUCUGUCUCUCCCUGGGCCGUUUGCUCCCCCCUCACCCUCCCACGGAUCGGCGGCUCCUCCCUUACCCAUCCCUCGGUCGGCUGCUCCUCCCCCACCCUCCCGUGGUUCAGCUGCUCCCUCCCCCGCUUUCCCUUGAGCCAUCCGCCCCCUCCUCUGCCCUCCUUCGAGUCGUCUGCCUCCUCUCCAUGUUCCCUUGAGCCGUCCACCCCUCCUCUGCCCCCUUUCGAGUGGUCUGCCUCCGCUCCACCCUCAGAUGAGCCGUCUGCCCCCCCCCCCAAACUGUUUGAACAAAUGCAAUCUUUAACAUUGUGUCCUUUGUCUAGUGAUAGUUCUGACGAUGAACUGCCUGUUAUAAGUACAUCUAAAAAGAUGCAGGAAUCUGUUUCUGUUAGAUCUCAUAGCAGAUCCAGGCCUGCUGUUUCUUGGACUCUGCCUCCCUGCCAGGUGGCUGUGACUCCUCGACACCCUUUGCAAUUUUCAGAGCAUGUGACAAUGAAAGCAGCUGAAGUGGGAGAUUGGAAUUUGUUAGAGAAAAUAGGUCCAACUAAAAGAAUGGAGAUGGCUGCUGCUGCUUCUGGUGGGCCUGUGGCUUUUCCUGUUUUCAAAGCUGCUCCUAAUUCAGGACAACAAGACAGCCAUCAGGUUUUUGCAUGGAGGGUUGUGCAGGAUCUCCAGUCAAAAGUAGAUCAGUAUGGUGUUAACUCUUUGCAGGUGAUGCAAGUGAUUCAUGUUCUAAAUGCUGAUGUACUUGUGCCUUAUGAUAUUAUUCACCUUGCUACGAUUCUGUUUCAGCUAGUGCAGUAUGGUGUGUUUCAAGCUACCUGGAAAUAAAUGGUUGAAAGGAGAACAUUGAACAAUAUGCAGUUACCUCAGCACAAUCCACGUCAUGCUGUGGGAGUUGAUGCCUUGCUGGGCAACGGACCCUUCUCUAACCCAGAUUUGCAGGCAAGAUGGGACCCCCUGGUUCUGGCACAGGCCCAGCAGCUGGGUAUGACUGCCUUGCUUAAAACAAUGGAGAUGGCAGCUCCUAAACCAUCCAGCAAGGGGUGAAGGAACCUUUUCUGCAGUUUGUGGAAAGGGUUGCUGCAACCCUUGAGAAGCAAGUAGAAGAUGAUAAAUUGAGGCAAAUUUUAUGCAGAGAGCUAGCACAGGACAAUGCAAACAGUGAUUACAGGAGAAUUAUUGACUCUUUACCAAGAGAUCCCUCGCUGUCUGGUCUUGUAGUUGCUUGCUCAAAGGUUGGUUCGGUUGAGCAUGAAAUGGCUGCUUUGGCAACAGUCAUGAAGUCCUCACCCAGAUGUUCUGCUUGUGAAGAAUCAGGGCAUGUGAAGACACAAUGCCCUCAAACUGCUGGAUGAUGUGUACACUCUAGUUGGUUUGGUUAUUGCCCCAGAGAAAGUUCAAAGAGAGAUGCCUUGGAAAUAUUUGGGGUUGAUAAUCACCAAUACACAAAUUGUGCCUCAACCUUUAAAAUUGGACAUUGAAAUUAUAACUGCUGCUGAUGUACAGAAAUUGGUUGGUGUAAUAGGUUGGCUUAGGCCAUACUUGGGGAUAACUAAUCAUCAGCUGCAACCUUUGUUUGACUUACUGUCAGGGAUUACUUCCUCUACUGAUGAGAGACAUUUGACCACUGCAGCAAACAAAGGCUGUAGAAGAAGUUGAAUUGGCCUUGACAUCUAAAUUUGCUACCUGGAUAGAUGUUUCUGUUGAUGUGCAAUUAUUUCUUUUGAGAGAUGAUGAAAUACCAUGCAGAUUGUUGUGUCAAUGGAAUGAUAAAUGGAAAGACAAAUUGCAUAUUUUGGAAUGGAUAUUUCUAUUUUUCAGGUCCCAAAAAACAGCUCCAGGUCUGUAGAUGAGCUUUUUGCAGACAUCAUGAUCAAAGGUUGCAGACGCUGCCAUGAAAUCUUAGGCUGUGAUCCUGUAACUAUUGUCAUACCGGUACAACAAUGGUAUUUUGAGUGGUGCUUUCAAAACAAUAAUGAGCUGCAAUCUGCUUUAUCUUCCUUUACAGGUCAAAUGGCAUUGUAGGAGUGUGUCCCCUAAUGACAGAGUGGCAAAGCUAGCCUUUGUCCCCCCCAAAAAGGAAAGAAGCCGAGAAGUUUCUCUCAAAGAUGAGGUGACAAGCCACCUCAUAGGACCUCAGAGACUCCACCAAAAACUCUGGGUCAUCUAAUUGGAUAGAAGCCAAAAAGUGACACCUAGCCCAUCAGGUAGAAAAGAGGAGAACAAAAGAACUAAGAGGCUUUUGUGAAGGUGUUUAUACCAGAGGCAGACCUCUGUACCUGGCUCGAGUUUUCUGUUUGUUAUUUUGCCUUUUAUUAAACCUUUUUGUUUCUAACACUGCAGCAGAAGCCAUCCUGCUUAUUAUUUGCCUCCAAAGGUAAUAGCUAAGCUAUCCCUGGGUGUGUUAGGUUCCCUUUUGAGAGUUCAUAAGACCUGGCCCAAGAAAAAGAACCUAGCAUAGCAUAUCAUUUACCUUCUCAUCCUAUUUUGAAUUUCACUAAGAGGAUUCCUUUUCAGGGGAAACAACUUUGCUCUUCUGUGCCAGUGGAAGGUGCAGCAGUUUUUACAGAUGGAUCAGGAGUACCUGGAAAAGCUGCUGUAGCCUCGAAGAAGGAUGACUGCUGGGAAUAUGAAGUAAUGGUUCAACAAGGGUCUCUUCAUUUAAUUGAACUUUGUGCCAUACUUUUGGCCUUUACCUUAUUUCCUAGUUCUGUAAAAAUAUAUAUAUAUAUAGUUACUGAUUCUUUAUGUUUAUGUUGCUAAUUUAGUGAAACAGUUGAAUCAAGCUGUGUUGUAUAAUGUAAAGGAGAAACCAUUAUUUGUUAUGUUGUUGAAAUUGUGGACUGUUUUUCAUAAUCGAAAGCAUUCUUAUUUUAUUAUGUGUAUUUGUAGCCAUACAUCGUUACCUGGAUUCUUUGUUGAAGGUAACACCUAUGUGGAUUCCCUCGUGGCUGCCUCUGCAGUAAAAACGGUGCCUAAUGUGUUACAGCAUGCUGUUUGUCUCACCAGUUUUUUCAUCAGGGUGCCCAGGCACUAUGGCAGCAUUUUAAAUUAUCACAUAGUGAGACAACGUAAAUUAUUUCUUCUUGCCCUGAUUGAUAUGUCUCAUGUUUUGCAAUAUUAUGGUACUAAUCCUAGAGGCUUACUUCCUUUGCAAGAAAGGCAAACAGAUGUUACAAAAAUGACUGAAUUUGGCCGUCUGAAGUUCCUGUCACAAUUGACACCUUUUCUCAUGCCAUGCUUGCCUCAGUGUUGGCAGGUGAAUCAGCUCGGGAUGUUAUUUGUCAUUUUUGCCACGCCUUUUCCAUCUUAGGCGUUCCAUCACAUGUAAAGACGGAUAACGCCCGGCGUAUGUUUCAAAGAAAUUGCAAGUGUUUUUCAUGCCUGGGGUGUUGUUCAUUCUACUGGUAUUCCUCAUGCUUCAACAGGCCAAGCAAUUAUUGAACGUGCUCAUAGUGUGUUGAAGUGCCAGGUACAAAAACAAAAAGGGGGAAUGCAGAGGGAGUUGCCUCAAGUAAGAUUAGACAAAGCCUCUAUGUCUUAAACUUUUUGCGUCGUUUACCUGACUUACUCUUGUCCUAUAUUCUAUUCUCUUAUAUUCUAUCAUUUUUUGUCUUUGAAUUCAAAACAGCCAAACUUGCAGAAUGGUAUUAAGGUAUGGGUAAAAGAUUUAAUCAUGGGAAAGUGGACUAGCCCAAGGGAAUUAAUAAAAUAGGGAAGAGGAUAUGCGUGUGUUUUAACAAAAAAUGGCCCUCGUUGGGGCUCUGCCCAUUGUGGUAAACCUUAUUUGGAGCACACAGGAAAGGACAGGGUGGGUGGUUCUACAGAUGGAAGCAUGGACCUUCAAGGAAUGUGUGGUAAAGAUGGUAAUUCGAGACAGUGUAAAGGGAGUUAUAGGCUUAUGCUGAAAAUCCAAGAUUUAAGUUAGUGGAUGUUAGUUUUGUUUCUUUUCCUUGAAUUCUCUUACAUAGAGGUUGGUAGUACUGAGAAAUGUGUCUUGUACCAUUUCCUUUUGCAGGGCACCAACACUCCCAAAAAUAAGGGAAUUUGAUGUACCUAAGGGAGAAAUGUUGGCUUUUCAUAGGGGUUGAAUUAGUAGCUGAAGUCCACAAUUUGAGCAACUAGGUUGCUUGCCCAUUAUGAUAGCAGCAACCAGUUGUAAAGUUAAGUGGAUGCUACUUGGUUCUAAGUGGUGACUAGGCAGAUGACUUGGUCUCUGACUCUGUGUGGGAGAAAGUUAUUUGACUAGAGGUGAAGGUGUCAUUCUGCUACAAAUGUGUAAUCCGGAAAUUGUGAGGUCUAUUAUGGUAUUUGAAGAUCUAUUUUUUAUGUGCCUUGUUUGUACAUGAAUGUUAAGAUUGUGAGGGUGCGUGUUGUGGUGUUGGUAGAAGUUGGUUAUCUGUAAGUGAAUGAAGAAGGAUCCUCUGUCUGCUUGGAUUUUUGCAAGGGCCUUGGAUUUUUGCAGAAAUCCUUAGCAGUUGUGUUUGCGGGUCAAAUACAAAAAGGGGGAAUUGUAGGAAAGACAUUCUGUGCUGUUCUUGUGAGCCAGUGAAAGCUUCCUGAAGAUAAGGAAAGCCUCGUAUCUCUCUCAAGGAAGGUACCAAGGCUAUCACCAUGACAACGUGAAGAAAGAAAGAAAGUCAAAAGAUACGGACUUUAGUUGGCUCCCAGAGUGAAGUGGCUUCUUUUCACUUAUUGAGAGUUUUGUUUCUUUUUUAUGACCAAUGGCAGUGUAUGUGUUUGUUAAGCAAAUGUAAAUAUCCUGUAAAACUAUAAAGGCAACAUGUUGCUUUAAUAAAUAGCCUACAGCCUUCUGAUUUGA